rnacentral:rRNA from 1 species
UACGUAGGGUGCAAGCGUUGUCCGGAAUUAUUGGGCGUAAAGAGCUCGUAGGCGGUUUGUCGCGUCUGCCGUGAAAGUCCGGGGCUCAACUCCGGAUCUGCGGUGGGUACGGGCAGACUAGAGUGAUGUAGGGGAGAGUGGAAUUCCUGGUGUAGCGGUGAAAUGCGCAGAUAUCAGGAAGAACACCCGUGGCGAAGGCGGCUCUCUGGAACGCACUGACGCUGAGACGCGAAAGCGUGGGGAGCAAACAGG